AGCAUGGUUGAGUUGGGCCAGGUUUACUUUAGUUUUGGUCUUAAGAGGCUUGGGUUCCAGUCUAACAGGACAAGAGCAUUGGAUGGUAUGUGGACAGACAUUUUUUAUUUGGUAGCAGACAGGAAGAGCAAGAGAGAGAAGAAUAAGGAGUUUUAAAAACUUAAAUAUUAAAAAAUUAGCUUUGAAGUUUUGGGGAGAUUAAAGCUCAACACUUUGCCUUCCCCAAGACUGGGGAACCUCUGUCCUGUUCACCACUGUAUAUUCAGCACCAGGCAGUUUCUUUUUUUGUUUGUUUGUU
rnacentral:lncRNA from 1 species